ensembl:snRNA U6 U6 spliceosomal RNA
GUGCUUGCUUUGGCAGCACAUAUACUAAAAUUGGAACAACACAGAGAUUAACCUGGUCCCUGUACAAAGAUGACAGGCAAAUUCAUGAAGCAAUCCAUAUUUUA